ensembl:lncRNA
GCACUCCUGACACUACUUUACAUGCAUGUGGAAAGUUAACACAGUGAGGCCAUUGUAAUGGGAGACAUUAAACAGAUAGUGAGGCUCCUUCUGCUUAUCAGGGAUGUAAAUCCUUAGGUGAAGGCUAAGCAGAAAACAAGGUCAUAAUUCUCUCUGUGCGGGAGGAGGUAUAGCCCCCCGUGAGAGGGACCAACAUGUAAGAGUUUGAGGAAUGUUCUUUGUCUGUGUCUCUGUAUAUAAGAUGUAAGGGCGGUGGCCACAAUUCAGAGAUGGUCCUGGUGUUUCACUGGGAUGCGCUCUCCACAUUGCAAUGUGUUUAUUAAACCCACUUCAAAUCAAGCUCACUGGGUGUGUUGCAGGUUAUUGUUAAAAUUUCCAUAACAAUUUGGCGUCACGAACAGAAUUCCUCACGUGAGUUUCGCUGAAUCGCAGGUACGCGGUGACUGACCAUCCUGGGGGAAAAUUGCCCCAGUCCCACCGUUCUUUUGUUUUCAAAAAAGGGGGAACCGCUAGAGGCCUUCAGCGACUCACACAUGCAGGAAUUUAAUGAACUAUGAGGAAAGAAAUGGGAAAAGAAUCUGCAACGGUGAGCUGUUUUGAUUUGGGGGGAGUUUUCAAGCGGACCUCAAAAAGGGAAAACCUCAAAAAAGCGACACCUAAAUUAUGGAUUGUCGUGGGAAGGAUUUUUCUGUCCUUGGGAAGGACUCUUCUGUCCUUGGGUUUAUGGUUUUUAGCACUUUGUACCGAAGCAAAGGCUGCAGAGGGGACGCCCGGCUGCAAUGGGUGCUGAGCUCAGCAAAGCGGCUACAGGAGCUGUGGGGAGGUUGUGUCCCUAGAGGUGGUCUGGGUGAAAACUCCAAAUGGGUGAAGUAUGUGUUAUGUAAGAGAAAGAUGUUGACAGGGAUAAGAGUUUUUUGUUUGUUUGUAGUUUUUUUUAAGUUGUUGUUGGUUUUGUUGUUUUUUUGUUUUUUGUUUUGGAUGGACCACUGGGAGGGAAACCUCAGGAAUACGACGCGUGAUUUCAGGACUGUUGUGGGAAGGACUCUGUCCUUAGUUUAUGGUGUUUAACACUUUUGCACCACAAGGAAAAGGCUGGACGGCCAACGCGCUUCUCCACAAAGCUGAGGUCAGCAGUACAGCCACCUCCGGGUGGUCCGGGCAAAUCCAGGUUUUGAUUGCAUGAUUUUUUUUUCUCUUUCAGAAAUAUGGGAAAGAAUACAUGCAGUAUGAAGUGUGUAGAAACUGAGGAAUGCAGUAAAGAGAAGUGUGUGUGUGUGAGAAGUGCUGUGGGUGUGUGUAUAACCGAGAGUGAUGGAAAGAGAUGUGUUAAAAUGUGGAUAGAAGAAUAAGAGAGGGAAAGUGUUAAUGAGCAGUGAUGAAAAUGAUAUUAAAUAAAUGUUUUAGUGUGUUAGUACAGGUGGCUACGGAACUGGAUCAAUGUCCUCCACAAGCACAGCGGCCGGAGCAAAAUGAUAGAUUAACAUAAUUGGAACCACACCCAGCCCGUGUUUUGGCUGAAUAUUACACAGCUUCACUCCAUGUACACCUUACACUGAAGAACAAGCUUCGAGGACAAUCAAUCUCUCCCUGAAGACAAAAUGCAGUUUGAGAGCAACGGCGUCGACUUCAAGAGUCAACAAGGUGAACCGAACGCAGCACUGCCCUAAACCUUAAAGGGUUCAGCGGCAUGUACAAAUACCAUGGAUGAAUGGAAGCAUGCGCUCCCAAUCACAAGCUGGGAGGUUCACCAGCGACAUCACUGUGUGUGAAUGGACUUGAGAAGACUGUCUGAGUUUCACAUUUGCCAUACUGGGAGCUGAAAUGGCAGAGGAAGAGACUGAAAAGAGUGAAAGACAAAAGGCAAAGCUGAAGAAGAACGACCCACUGGGGCCCUGACAAGCCACAACUGUGAACUGCUGCAGAUGUGGGAGAGAGACAGAAGCUGUGAGAAGUGGGGAGAAGAGAGCAUGGAGGAAAAAUGAAGUCUGUUGUUGUUAAUGUGAGAACACAUGAAAAUUCGGUUGGAAAACUGUGGCCGACUGUCUUGUGGAGGAUGAUAAAGAGUCCGUAGGAUUGCAACAAAGGUCAGAUUUGUGGAGUGUGAGACUGAAAGUUGUCCUGUGGACAGACUCUCCCACCUGAGCUGUGGAUUUCUGCAGCUCCUCCAGAGUGACCAUGGGCCUCUUGGAAGCUUCUCUGACCAGUGCUCUCCUUACUCAGUCUGUCAGUUUAGGUGGACGGCCAUGUCUUGGUAGGUUUGCAGUUGUAGCAUGCUUUUUCCAUUUUUGGAUGAUGGAUUGAACAAUGCUCCUUGAGAUGUUCAAAGCUUGGGAUAUUUUUUUAUUACUGUCAAUAGAAAAUUGUACUUAGUAGUCAGUAUAAUCUUUUAAUGAUAUAAGUUUGCAUAUGGUAGAAUAGUGCAUGUUGACCUUUUGAUGACUUAGGCUGUUGGGUGGUGAUGAUGGGUUUAGAUUUUAUUAUUGUCAUUUGUAUUAAGAAAUAUUUAACCAUAUAUGCUUAGAGGUGUAUAAUCGAUUGUGUAGUGAUAGGAUGUGUGAUCUUUAAUAGUCUGCAAAGACUUUGUGUGCAUUCCAGAGUGUUCUGGCAUUCACACUCAGAUCCUGGGAGCAUGGGAGAGGUCGUACCUUCUGUUAUUGUUUUCUGAUAGGAUAAAUGUAUCUAUGUCUGUUUUAGGCUAAGUGCCUUUUCUUUAGAUGAACUGCUGGACUUCCAGACCAGACCCCCCCCACACACACACACACACACACCCACUGAUGUAUAUAAAUAAAGAGCAGGGCAGUGGCAGGGCGCGAGUCUCGGAGCCCUCACUUCCGUGCGAGUGCUCUGUGGCUGCCCUUGCUGCAAGUAAAACUGUGUUUUUCUCCUCUCUGAGUCGAAGCUGAAGAAGUGUCUUAGAAUACAUCUCUUGACAAACCCUGCUUUAAACUUAUCUACAACUUUAUCCCUGACCUGUCUGGUGAGUUCCUUGGUCUUCAUGAUGCUGUUUGUUCACUAAUGUUCUCUAAAAAACCACUGAUGCCUUCACAGAGCAGGUGUAUUUAUAAUGACACAAACUCUAUUAUCUAAUUAGGUGACUUGUGAAGGGAAUUGAAUGCACUGGAUAUUAGUUUGGGGGUAUCAGAGUACAGAUGGGUGAAAACAAAUUCAGAUUUUAUUUGCUUAAAAUUGUAUGUAUCUUUUUCGUAUCAGUUCACAAUUAUGUGCUUCUUUGUAUUGGUCUAUCACAAAAAAUCUUAAUAGACAACAUCAAAUUUGUGGUUGUAAAUUGACAAAAUGUGUAGAAGUUCAACAGGUAUGAAUACUUUUUCAAGGUACUGUAAGCUCAGGCUUUGUUCAGUUUAAUUAGAAAUGUUGAAUUGACAAGUUCACAUGUAUCAUGUUGAAGGAAGUAAUUAGAGUAAAAUACAGCUUUAUUAUCCACUUGGCUUUGGUCCAGACUAAUAAUUGGUUCUUAGUGCAGUGGCACUUUGAAGUCGCUGUAAUGUGUUGGCAUGCUAAUAGUGCCUGUAAUAGAUUACUUUGGCUUGCACAAUAAAUGUGUAGCUUGCAAAGAACGAUGAAUAAAUGUUUUUAUUCUUCAUUUGUUUGGUGUUUAACUGUUUUGCCAUCUCACUAAAUACACAGAUUUAAAAACAUGAAAAGAAUAAAAUAAUACAUUUGAAUAAAUGUCUGUGUUUCCUAACACGAGAAAAAUGCUGCCAGACCAAACUUACUCACUCUUAGUUCUAAGAUCUUUAAACUCAAUAAGAGAGGAGGUGACAUCCUCGUAUUCAU